rnacentral:rRNA from 1 species
GACGAACGCUGGUUGCGUGCUUAACACAUGCAAGUCGAACGGAAAGGCCCUGCUUUUGUGGGGUGCUCGAGUGGCGAACGGGUGAGUAACACGUGAGUAACCUGCCCUUGACUUUGGGAUAACUUCAGGAAACUGGGGCUAAUACCGGAUAGGAGCUCCUGCUGCAUGGUGGGGGUUGGAAAGUUUUGGCGGUUGGGGAUGGACUCGCGGCUUAUCAGCUUGUUGGUGGGGUAGUGGCUUACCAAGGCUUUGACGGGUAGCCGGCCUGAGAGGGUGACCGGCCACAUUGGGACUGAGAUACGGCCCAGACUCCUACGGGAGGCAGCAGUGGGGAAUAUUGCACAAUGGGCGGAAGCCUGAUGCAGCAACGCCGCGUGCGGGAUGACGGCCUUCGGGUUGUAAACCGCUUUCGCCUGUGACGAAGCGUGAGUGACGGUAAUGGGUAAAGAAGCACCGGCUAACUACGUGCCAGCAGCCGCGGUGAUACGUAGGGUGCGAGCGUUGUCCGGAUUUAUUGGGCGUAAAGGGCUCGUAGGUGGUUGAUCGCGUCGGAAGUGUAAUCUUGGGGCUUAACCCUGAGCGUGCUUUCGAUACGGGUUGACUUGAGGAAGGUAGGGGAGAAUGGAAUUCCUGGUGGAGCGGUGGAAUGCGCAGAUAUCAGGAGGAACACCAGUGGCGAAGGCGGUUCUCUGGGCCUUUCCUGACGCUGAGGAGCGAAAGCGUGGGGAGCGAACAGGCUUAGAUACCCUGGUAGUCCACGCUGUAAACGGUGGGUACUAGGUGUGGGGUCCAUUCCACGGGUUCCGUGCCGUAGCUAACGCUUUAAGUACCCCGCCUGGGGAGUACGGCCGCAAGGCUAAAACUCAAAGGAAUUGACGGGGCCCCGCACAAGCGGCGGAGCAUGCGGAUUAAUUCGAUGCAACGCGUAGAACCUUACCUGGGUUUGACAUGGAUCGGGAGUGCUCAGAGAUGGGUGUGCCUCUUUUGGGGUCGGUUCACAGGUGGUGCAUGGCUGUCGUCAGCUCGUGUCGUGAGAUGUUGGGUUAAGUCCCGCAACGAGCGCAACCCUUGUUCACUGUUGCCAGCACGUUAUGGUGGGGACUCAGUGGAGACCGCCGGGGUCAACUCGGAGGAAGGUGGGGAUGACGUCAAGUCAUCAUGCCCCUUAUGUCCAGGGCUUCACGCAUGCUACAAUGGCUGGUACAGAGAGUGGCGAGCCUGUGAGGGUGAGCGAAUCUCGGAAAGCCGGUCUCAGUUCGGAUUGGGGUCUGCAACUCGACCUCAUGAAGUCGGAGUCGCUAGUAAUCGCAGAUCAGCAACGCUGCGGUGAAUACGUUCCCGGG